ncrna:Empedobacter brevis NBRC 14943 = ATCC 43319 S15-Flavobacteria ribosomal protein leader
UACAUUUGCACCUCAUUACAUAAUAAUUAUUAAAUAAUAUUGGCAUG